GUGAGGAAUAUUGGUCAAUGGACGCGAGUCUGAACCAGCCAAGUAGCGUGAAGGAUGACUGCCCUAUGGGUUGUAAACUUCUUUUAUAAGGGAAUAAAGUGAGGGACGUGUCCCUUUUUGUAUGUACCUUAUGAAUAAGGAUCGGCUAACUCCGUGCCAGCAGCCGCGGUAAUACGGAGGAUCCAAGCGUUAUCCGGAUUUAUUGGGUUUAAAGGGAGCGUAGGUUGACAUAUAAGUCAGCUGUGAAAGUUUACGGCUCAACCGUGAAAUUGCAGUUGAUACUGUAUGUCUUGAGUGUACAAGAGGUGGGCGGAAUUCGUGGUGUAGCGGUGAAAUGCUUAGAUAUCACGAAGAACUCCAAUUGCGAAGGCAGCUCACUGGGGUACAACUGACACUGAGGCUCGAAAGUGUGGGUAUCAAACAGGAUUAGAUACCCCGGUAGUCC
rnacentral:rRNA from 1 species